UACGUAGGGGGCAAGCGUUGUCCGGAAUCAUUGGGCGUAAAGAGCGUGUAGGCGGUCCGGUAAGUCCGCUGUGAAAGUCGGGGGCUCAACCCUCGAAUGCCGGUGGAUACUGUCGGGCUAGAGUGCGGAAGAGGCGAGUGGAAUUCCUGGUGUAGCGGUGAAAUGCGCAGAUAUCAGGAGGAACACCGGUGGCGAAGGCGGGUCUCUGGGCCGUAACUGACGCUGAGGAGCGAAAGCAUGGGGAGCGAACAGG
rnacentral:rRNA from 1 species